rnacentral:rRNA from 1 species
UACGUAGGGUGCGAGCGUUGUCCGGAAUUACUGGGCGUAAAGCGCGUGUAGGCUGCUCUGCAAGUCGGAUGUGAAAGCCCUGGGCUCAACCUAGGAAGUGCAUUCGAUACUGCUGAGCUGGAGUCCUGGAGAGGAAGGCGGAAUUCUCGGUGUAGAGGUGAAAUUCGUAGAUAUCGAGAGGAACACCGGUGGCGAAGGCGGCUCUCUGGACCACAACUGACGCUGAGGCGCGAAGGCCAGGGGAGCAAACGGG